GGUUGCGAUCAUACCAGCAGUAAUGCACCGGAUCCCAUCAGAACUCCGCAGUUAAGCGUGCUUGGGCGAGAGUAGUACUAGGAUGGGUGACCCCCUGGGAAGUCCUCGUGUUGCAACCC
rnacentral:rRNA from 1 species